GACGAACGCUGGCGGCGCGCCUAACACAUGCAAGUCGAACGGAGCUGAGAGAAGCUUGCUUUUCUUAGCUUAGUGGCGAACGGGUGAGUAACGCGUGAGUAACCUGCCCUGGAGUGGGGGACAACAGUUGGAAACGACUGCUAAUACCGCAUAAGCCCACGAUCCGGCAUCGGAUUGAGGGAAAAGGAUUUAUUCGCUUCAGGAUGGACUCGCGUCCAAUUAGCUAGUUGGUGAGGUAACGGCCCACCAAGGCGACGAUUGGUAGCCGGACUGAGAGGUUGAACGGCCACAUUGGGACUGAGACACGGCCCAGACUCCUACGGGAGGCAGCAGUGGGGGAUAUUGCACAAUGGGGGAAACCCUGAUGCAGCGACGCCGCGUGGAGGAAGAAGGUUUUCGGAUUGCAAACUCCUGUCGUUAGGGACGAUAAUGACGGUACCUAACAAGAAAGCACCGGCUAACUACGU
rnacentral:rRNA from 1 species